UACAGAGGUCCCAAGCGUUGUUCGGAUUCACUGGGCGUAAAGGGUGCGCAGGUGGGCUGGCAAGUUCGAUGUGAAAGCCCCGGGCUCAACCCGGGAAUGGCAUUGGAAACUGCUGGUCUGGAGGAUCGGAGGGGGGACUGGAAUUCUUGGUGUAGCAGUGAAAUGCGUAGAUAUCAAGAGGAACACCAGUGGCGAAGGCGAGUCCCUGGACGAUACCUGACACUGAGGCACGAAAGCCAAGGGAGCAAACAGGAUUAGAAACCCCCGUAGUCC
rnacentral:rRNA from 1 species